rnacentral:rRNA from 1 species
AUUGAACGCUGGCGGCAGGCCUAACACAUGCAAGUCGAAUGGUAACAGGAAACAGCUUGCUGUUUCGCUGACGAGUGGCGGACGGGUGAGUAAUGUCUGGGAAACUGCCUGAUGGAGGGGGAUAACUAUUGGAAACGGUAGCUAAUACCGCAUAACGUCGCAAGACCAAAGAGGGGGACCUUCGGGCCUCUUGCCAUCAGAUGUGCCCAGAUGGGAUUAGCUAGUAGGUGGGGUAACGGCUCACCUAGGCGACGAUCCCUAGCUGGUCUGAGAGGAUGACCAGCCACACUGGAACUGAGACACGGUCCAGACUCCUACGGGAGGCAGCAGUGGGGAAUAUUGCACAAUGGGCGCAAGCCUGAUGCAGCCAUGCCGCGUGUAUGAAGAAGGCCUUCGGGUUGUAAAGUACUUUCAGCGGGGAGGAAGGGAGUAAAGUUAAUACCUUUGCUCAUUGACGUUACCCGCAGAAGAAGCACCGGCUAACUCCGUG